GGUGCUAAGCAACAGCUAUAGAAUGAAUUGUUCCUUGAAAGAAUGGAAGAAAUGAGAAAGGAGAAAAUGAAGGAAUAAAAUUUGAAGAGACAGAGGAGCUUAAUAAGCCAUGUCAAGAGGUUUAAGGGUGAAUAUGACACAAACAAUUAGAAGGAAAUGGAUCACCGAAUGUUUGGAACAGCAACACAGAGGAGGUAAUUUCCAAAGAGUGGAGAGCAAGAACAUCAAUAGUCUCUAGAGGAAGUGAGUUUCAAUGCUCCAAAUAUGUGAGUCAACAGGUGCCAGAAGGAGAUGGAUCAUUUGAUGUGAUCAAAAUGCUAACAAACAAACAGAAAUUUGUUGACUAAUGGGUACCACAAUGUUUUUGUUUGUUUGUUUGUUUUUGUCAUUCUGACAUAAACUAUAGAAAGUAUUGUUCUUACCAGACAGAGAGCCUCCUAAGACUUAUCAAAACUAAAGGCCACACUACCUACUCCUGGUGCUUUCUGUGAAGACUGUGAAGACUGAAGAUGUUCACCAACCUGAGUGACCUUGGGUUAAAGGGGCUCUGAUGUUCGUGCCACUUCCAACCAAUAUCCUAUGAUUCUAUAGAUCACAACUUCUCCAUCCUGUAGCAGACAGUUUUAUGAAGAGUACCCUCAAAACCAGUUAUCACCUGCUGGCUGAGCAGCUGAUGGUGAACCAUUGUGAAUUUGGAUAGAAAGUGUCUCUUGGCAAGGCAAAAAUCAGGAAGACUGGCAAUGAAUGACUUAAGAUGCAUUGGGUGUCCUUGGCAUCUUUGAUGUCUGACCAAGAUCUGAGUACUCCACAGUGCCUACUUCAGCAGCCCUCAUGGUCACUAGAACAAAAUUGUUCUGGUCUGUUCCACCAAGAAAAAUCUCCACAUGCUUUGGUAAGCAUCCCUUUAAUGGGUUGGAGGCCCAGUGACUACCUUCAACUUUGUUUGGUCCAUCUGCCAAGAUGGUUUUACUAGUUUGUGGCUACUGUGAAAAUGCUUGCUACUUGGACCUACAGGUGAGAGAUAGGUGACAGGUAGACCCCAAAGGUGGAUGAGCAGCCCUGACAGGUCUUGGCAAGCCCUCUCACCAGAGGUAUCAAUCCUCCUUGAACACCCCAUAUAUCACUGAAGAUGCACUCACUAUAACACUUUGUUCAAGACCCUAUCCUGGGACCAGCUUAUACUUACAAGGGCCCUAUGAUAAAUUACCUUUUUUUUACAGUAGUUAAAUUCCCUAGAAAAAGAUCUAAGACAUGCCUAUUUAAGACUUAAUCUUUUACCUUCCAUCUUAGAAUCAAUACAGUGUGUUGAUUCCAAAGCAGAAGAGCAGUAAGGGCUAGGCAAUGGGGGUUAAGUGAUUCGUCCUGGGGUCAUAUAGCUAGAAGUGUCUGAGGCCAGAUUGAACCCAGGUCUCUAGUCCUGGCUCUCAAUCCAGAGAGCCACGAAGCUGUUCUCAUUUGAGACUUUUUUGCUAAAUCUGACAGAAUUCUACUCACCUCUUAUGCGACAUUCUCUUAUUCUAAAUUAUUGAAGCUUUAUUGCAUCAUUUUUUAAGAUCACAGGAUUUCAGAAGUAGAAGAAACCUAGUGCCAACAUUUGCACUAGAAUCUCUUACAUAGCAUAUCUGACAAUAAUCCUCCAGCCUUUGCUUAAAGAGCUCUAGUGCUAUGGAAACCCAUUACAACCAGCCCAUUUUAUUUUUGGACAACUAAUGGAUAAGAAACUUCUUUUUAUCAUAACACCUAAAUCUGUGGUUUUACCAACUCUCCAACUCCAAAAGAAAAUUACUCUGUAUUUAUUUUAUGUACAACUUAUUCAAGUUUUAUACUUUUAUACGUGUAUGUUGUCAGCCUUAUAGAAUGUAAGCUCCUUGAGGACAGAGAUGAUUUCAUUUUUAUCUUUGUAUCCUUAUUGCCUAGCACACAGUAGGCAGCUAAUAAAUUCUUGUUAGACAAUUCCUCAGCAGAAUAAGAACUCAUUAGGAUUUUUUGGUCUCCAUAGAACACUGUUGACUUCUCUUGAGCUUGAGGUCUCCUAAAACACUCAGAUCUUUUGCAGACACAUAACUCUCUAGCUAUGAUUCACAUUCUAGUGCUCGUGAAGUUGAAUUUAACUCAAAUGUGAAACUUUAUAUUUUCCUUUGUAAGCUUUAUCUUUUUUGAUUCAGUCUGAUAUUCUAGCCUGCCAAAAUCUUUUAAAAUCUGUCUUCCACUGUUUUAGUCAUCCCUCCCAACUUUGUGUCAUCUACAGAUUUGAUCAGCAAGCUAUCUGUGCCUUUAUCUGAGUCAUUACUAAAAAUGUUCAACAGCAGUGGGGUGAGGACAGAUCCCCAGAAGCACUCCACUGGAGGUCUCCUUCCAAGUUGACAUCAAUGCUAUCUAUGGCUAACAAUGUUGUUAUCUGUGGUGAAAACAGGAUCUGAAUUUGAUCCACUGAGUUUUCCACACUAAAUAAUGUUAAUUCCACAAGUGUGACCCAUUUUUGCACAAUAGGCUACUUUCUGAAAUUGUUGCUUAUGAACAGAAACUUUACAUAAACCCAAUUUUUUAAAUGUACUUACUAUAGAAAAUUAUACUAUAAAGAAAUCUUUUUUGUGAAUCUAGGGCAAUCAGGGAAGGCUUCAUUUGAAGAGGUGGCAUCUCAUUUAGUCUUCGAUGAUUGGUAGACGAUGAAUCCUUGCCCCUUCCCAAAUUCCAAUAACUCAUUAUUCUACAAUUGUAAUUAUAAUUCACUUUGAAGCAAAAACCCCUUACUAAUUCUUCUUCCCACAAUUGUAGCAAAAUGAGCUGAUGAUGCAGGAAUGAGAGGUUUUGCCAUGACAAGGCAAUAACCAAGUUUGUAGUUAAGAAACAAAACUGUCAUAUUCACAUCAGCCAAAUAGAAAAGAAUGAAUGCAGUUUAGGAAUUAUUUUCCCCAAAAUUUAGUGAAUAUAGACCUAAAAAAAUAAGGAUUAUUUUCUCUAUAGGAAAACUGGACCGUGUCCUUUAAAUUUAUCCUUUGAACCCCUCAAUCACGUGCUUUUUUUUCUUGUAUAGCUGCCAUACUAAUCUCUUGGGAGGAAAAGAAUCUUGCUUUGUCGCCUGGCCAAACCUUCAAAGCAAAUUUAGACCUUUGUUUCACAGCUAUUUCACCUUCACAAACUGCUGAUGCAGUUUCUCCAAAUCUAAAGAAUCUUGACAGUGGGAGAGAGGGGCAGGGCAGAAUCUGUUUCUCUGAUUUCUAAGGUUACUUUUUCUAGGAAGAUUCCCCUCCCCCGACUCACAGUACAUGGAUUUUAUCUAUUUCCUCCAUAGUCACUUAAAACUGAACUAUGGCUUUAGGACACCUUGUAUAAAGCCUGAAGGGUGCUUAUGCAUAUACAUAGGUCUCAGAGCUGGCUUCUCAGAUCACCAAAUAACUUGGUUGUUUUUGUUUUGGUUUGGUUUGUUUUUACAUCUUUAGGCAUAUUCUACUUAAUGGCUCCAUCAUCCCCAGUGGAGGGUUCUUAGCAGUGUCCAUUUCAAUGAACAUAGUUUUAAAGAAUUAGAAAGCAGAACAUUAUGAGCAUUGGAGUGUGACUACUAACAUGCCACAAAUUUUUAAUAAACCAAAACUGAUUUCUUCCUUCUCUCCUUCUCUCCUUCCUUGUUUCCUUGCUUCCUUCCUUCUUCCCUUUCUCUCUCUCUCUUUUUCUCUUUCUUCCUCCCUUCCUCCCUUCCUUCCUUUCUUCCUUUCUUUCUUUCUUGCCUUCUUGCCUUCUUUCUUUCUUUCCUUCUUUCUUUCUUUCUUUCUUUCUUUCUUUCUUUCUUUCUUUCUUUCUUUCUUUCUUUCUUUCUUUCUUUCUUUCUUUCUUUCUUUCUUUCUUUCUUUCUUUCUUUCUUUCUUUCCUUCCUUCCUUCCUUCCUUCCUUCCUUCCUUCCUUCCUUCCUUCCUUCCUUCCUUCCUUCCUUCCUUCCUUCUUUCUUUCUUUCCUUCUUUCUCACUCUCGCUUUCUUAACUUCUAUUUUAGAACAAAUACUAAGUAUCCAUUCCAAGACAGAAGAACAUCAAGGAUUUGGCAACUGGGUUUAAGAGACUUGCCCAGGCUCACACAACUAGAAGUUUCUGAGGUUGUAUUUGAACCCAGGAUCUUCCGUCACUAGGCCUGGCCCCUCUAUUUAAUGAGCCACCUAAUGGUUGCCCAAACAGAGUUCUAACAAAAAUUAAAUGAAUCUCUUUGAAUGAGAAUGAAUUCUCAUUUUCAGAAGCAGCAAAAAGCAUUUUCUUUUUCUUACACUACUUCAAAUUAAAAAAAAAAAAGGAAUGGGACCCUAUUCUAAUGUAAAAAUGCCAGGCUUUUACAGCCCUAGCUUUGCAUUAACCCAAGGUAGCAACAUAUAUUUUCAAGGUGUCAUAGAAUGCCAUGGUCCCAAAUCUUAAAACCAAGCAAUUUAUAAUUCACUUCAAUUUGGAAAAAAUACAUGCUAUACUUUUAGGAGGAAAGGGAACAUCAAACACUGACAUAUAUGAAUAGGAAUAUUAUCUAUUAUAACUGUAGCAUGUUUCUUAAAACAUAACAACAACAAAAACAUU